rnacentral:sRNA from 1 species
ACCCUGACUCCAUGGAGCAGAGCUGGUCCUCCCAUCUUUGGGCUACAUGUCCCCCAAGGCUCUCUGGCACAGAGCUGGAGGGGCCAGAGGAAGUGCUGAGUCUGGGAGGAGGCUGAGGACAGGCGAUUGGAGUAAUGAGGGGAGUUAGAGAGAUGGGGAGUGUGUAAAAGCUGAGUGAAGGGCUAGGUCAGGGAAAGGUGUGCCUGGGCCAGUAAGUCUGGAGUGGGGAGCUGGAGGAACUGGGCUGCUGGGGAUGUCUGGUGUGUCAGGUGCCAGUGAGGCCUGUGGUGCUAAGAGGCCACUGUCUGCACCUUCCACCAGGGAACCGCAUCACAGAGGUGGGGCUGGAGGGCUUCCUCGCCACAGUGCAGUAUCAGAUGCAGUUCUCCAAAGCCAAGAGUGCAUCCAAGGGUCCAGUGGGGCUGCUGUGGCUGUCCCUGGCUAAAAAUUGCUUCGCCCCACAAUGUCCUGCGUAUGCCAUAAUCCAGGAGCUGAUGCUGCCAAGGGAUCCCAUCAAGGCCAAACUCAGGGAGGAUGAGGCCAUGGCAUUCUUCCCCUAGCCCUGUCCCACCUGCUUGCCUCUAAGACUCGGGGCUACAGAAGCACCUCCUGUCCCUGUGUGGGGUGACCUCCCUGGGGGAGAUCUCAGACCAAUAACAAAGUCUGUUGCUAUACUUUUC